AGCAUAGCGAUUUGGGAUAAGUCCCUUGGAAGAGGGCAGCAUGGAGGGUGAUACUCCCGUCUCUGCUCAGGUUGUCUGUGUGUACGAUACGCUUUCUUUGAGUCGAGUUGUUUGGGAAUACAGCUCAAAGUAGGUGGUAAAUUCCAUCUAAAGCUAAAUAUUGGUGCGAGACCGAUAGCGAACAAGUACCGUGAGGGAAAGAUGAAAAGAACUUUGAAAAGAGAGUUAAAGAGUACCUGAAACUGUUGAAAGGGAACCGUAUCGUUUCUAGUGUUUAUCCUAUGCAUAUUUCAUUGGCGGUUGUAAAAUUGCUGGUGCCCUGUGUAUGGGUGUGACGUCAGGGUCAGUCUGAAUUGCGGGAGAUGGAUAGUGAGGAGGUGCGUCACUUUUGUGAAAGUUACAGCUUGCUAUUUAGUUACCGUGGUUGAGACUGAGGUGCC
rnacentral:rRNA from 2 species